GCAUUUUUGGAGCACCAGUCACCACUGUAUCUAGGAAAUGUAUUCCUCUGCAUGGUGUUAUGAAAUAUCUGAAUCCAGGGAAUACAGGAGCAUAGUGGGGAAAGAUGUUCCUAUUUCCAUUACAACCAGGACCCCUCCAGGAAGACAGUAAACCACGUCUGCUUUUGGAUACCGCACAGAUUCAUCUUGUCAGCGUUCGAGGGAAUGUUUACUUGACAGAAGCAUUAGUAGUGGAAUAUCAGCCUCAUUGGAGGGAAGGCCAGUCCAUCUUGCCAAGAGCGAUCAAGAUCCAUCAGUUUAUCACAUUGAUCUAUCCAGCAUAAUUGCCAGUAUUGGCUGUAGAGCCGUUGUGGAGGGGGGAAAAAAUUGCUGACCCACUAAUGCUAACAUUAGUUGUUCCACUGUCUGCAAACAAGAUUCAUACUGAAUGGAUGCUUGGUCUAGCCAAAAUUAUCUGGGACUUUUCUGUUAGAGAUAAUAUUCCUUUUGCACCAACAAGUAGGAACUCUAUUGAGAUUGGCUAAUUGAAUUCUACCCAUCUUAUCAGAUUUCUUUUUAAUGAAACCGAACAAUAGUUUCAUUUGUUAUAUUAUUAGUUUUCCCAGUGGUAGCAGCAAAACUUUAGCACUGUUGAAAGCUAAACAGCAGAGCUGUGCCAAUGUCAACAGUUUAUCAGCACUGUGUGCCAGCUUGAUAUUGCAAAGUUGCUUUAGUCCUUUGUUUUGUCUCGCUCUCUUUUGCACAGGGGAUUUACAGCUAAGAAGUCAUCUCCUUGCUAAAUCUGCCCUGUGGAUUAAUGUGUACAUAGACUGAAGUAUGAACUCCCAGAAGAAAUCUGAAAUAAUCUUGGACUUCACAGUGAUAUGCAGAUAUUUAAGAUUAAAUCUGGAAAACUCAUAAUUAUAUAC